UACGUAGGGAGCAAGCGUUGUCCGGAAUCAUUGGGCGUAAAGCGCGCGUAGGCGGCCCCGUAAGUCCGCUGUAAAAGUCCAGGGCUCAACCCUGGAAAGCCGGUGGAUACUGUCGGGCUAGAGUCCGGAAGAGGCGAGUGGAAUUCCUGGUGUAGCGGUGGAAUGCGCAGAUAUCAGGAGGAACACCGAUGGCGAAGGCAGCUCGCUGGGACGGUACUGACGCUGAGGCGCGAAAGCGUGGGGAGCGAACAGG
rnacentral:rRNA from 1 species